rnacentral:lncRNA from 1 species
UUCUACACUGUGGAAGCUGUGUUCUUUCGCUCUUUGCAAUAAAUCCUGCUGCUGCUCGCUCUUUGGGUCCGCAUUGCUUCUGUGAGCUGUAACACUCACCACGAAGGUCUGCAGCUUUACUCCUGAAGCCAGCGAGACCAUGAACCCACCAGAAGGAAGAAACUCCGAACACAUCCAAACAUCAGAAGGAACAAACUCCAGACGCGCCGCCUUAAGAGCUGUAACACUCACCGCCAGGGUCUGCGGCUUCAUUCCUGAAGUCAGUGAGAGCAAGAACCCACCAAUUCCGGACACACUGAGGACAAAUUGUUAUACAUGUUAUUUCCCAUGUCCACAACUCCCUGCAAGGUAAAUACUUGAGAAUUUGGCAGUCACGUUUUUUCCAAAUGGACAGAAAACAUACAAUUGCUGAUGGAUUGGUUUGAAUGCAAGAAGCAGCCAGCAACUGCCAUUCAUGAGGAUCGUAUACAGCAUGUAGGACGCGCCUGCUUCCCCUUUGCCUUCUGCCAUGAUUGUAAGUUUCCUGAGGCCUCCCCAGCCAUGCCUUCUGUACAGCCUGCAGAACUGGAGAUGACCUGGAAAUUGCAGAAGCUUCAUGAAAGUCAAGAUUGCCUCUAAAUAGGAUGAAGAAGUAUAGAAAUGAAGCCAAGAUGUCUGUUGUAAACAUUACUUAGUAAUCGUAAGAAAGCUCCAAUUUUAAGAGUUUAUUUUCCAUCCUGCAAAAUAAUGUACCUGUGCUCAAAUCAAAACGUUAGAAUCAAAUAUCUCACUGUCAGUACCAUUUGUAAAACUGUCAUCUCACUGUACUAACCAUGGAGUUUGAUGCUAUGACUGUGGAGACAAAAGCCAGCAUUCCUUUCCUCAAAAGUUAUCUGACUGAAUUCCCACAAAUAUAGUUCAGAAAGCAAGCAGAAAUAGGUGACAUGCACUGAGAGGGGUCAUUGUAGAAGCUCAUGAAAAGAUAACCUAACCCACGUUGAAGGUAUAAUGGAAACUCUUCUGUGAGAGGUAAUAUUGGAGCUCAAUACUUAAGUAUUUGUAAGAAAUACCCAGAUAUAGGAGAGAGAAUGUACAUUUCAGAUAAAGCAAUGUGUAAAAAUACUGAGAUGUUUGAUUAACAUAUGUUGUGUUUGCAUUUGAACAGCUGCAAGUUGCUCAGCAUGUGUCAUUAAGGUGCCUGUGAGGAAAGUAAUCAACAGGGCUGGAAAGUUAGGCAACAGUGAGCGGUAAAGGUCUUAUUAAUUCAAGAACUAUGAAAAUAUAACAGAGGCCAUGAUGAUUCAAAAUUUCUAUGUGGAAAUAUUUUAGGAGUGUCAAACUUGAAUACACAGGGAGGUACUGUUAAGGUAUUAUUUGGAAGAUAAGCUUGCAUAUUAAACAUUCUGUUCUUAGAAUAUCUGUUUCUUUUUCUGCCAGAUUUGGGAAGAUCCUGACUUUAUAUGAUAUUGAUACAGCCACUCUUUGUUAGGAUUAUUCUUUAGAUAGUAUGUCUUUUCCUAUUAUUUUACUUUCACCAAUAUGUCUUCAUUUUUAUUGUUUAUUUCUAGUAGACAGGAAGUGCAUCGUUGUGUUUUUUUAAUACAAUCUAUCCCUUUUAACUGGACUGUUUAGACCACUUAUAUUUAGUGAUAUGGUUCGAUUUAAAUGUACCAUCAUGCUCUAUGUGUUAUGUUAGUCCCAACUGGCCUUUGUUCCUUAUUUCUUUUUCUCUGCCAUAUUUUAUCAAACAAGACUUAAUUAUUAUUUUAGAUUGAGGGGAUACAUGUGCAGGUUUGUUACACGGGUAUAUUGUGUGAUGCUAAGGUUUGAGCUUCUAAUGAUCUCAUCAUCCAAGCAAUGAACAAAGUACCCUAUAGGUUAGUUUUUCAACUCUUCUCCCCUCUCUCCCUCCAUCCUUUUGGAAUCCCCAAAAGAGGAUUUCUGCUUGCUUUCUGAACUAUAUUUUUGGGAAUACAGUCAAAGAACUUUUGAGGAAAGGAAUGCUGGUUUUUGUCUCCACAGUCAUAGCAUCUGUUCCCAUCUAGCAUUGUUGCCAUCUUUGUGUUUGUGAGUACCCAACGUAUUUGGUUUUCUGUUCCUGCAUUAAUUUAUUUAGGAUAAUAACCUCUAGCUUCAUACAUGUUGCUGCAAAGGACAUGAUUUUGUUUUUGUUUUUUUAUGACUGUGUAGUAUUCCUUGGUGUAUAUGUGCACAUUAUCUUUAUCCAAUUCACCGGUGAUGGGCAGUUGGGUUGAUUCCAUGUCUUUGCUACUGUGAAUAGUGCUACAAUGCACAUAUGACUGCAGGUGUCUUUUCAGUAGAACGAUUUAUUUUCAUUUAGAUAUAUACCCAGUUAUAGAAUUCCCGGGGUAAAUGACAGUUUUACUUUUAGUUCUUUGCAAAAAUCUCCAAACUUCUUUCCACAGGAUCUGGACUAAUUUGCAUUCUCACCAGCAGUGAAUGUGUUCCCUUAUCUCCGCAACCUUGCCAACAUUUGUUAUUUUUUUGACUUCAUAAUAAUAGCCAUUCUACUGAUGUGAGAGAUGGUAUCUUGUGGUUUUGAUUUGCAUCUCUUUAAUGAUUAAUGAUGCUGGGCAUUUUUUUUCAUGUUUGUUGGCUGCUUGUGUAUCUUCUUUUUUGAAGUGUCUAUUCAUGUCCUUUGCCAACUUUUUAUUUGAGUUAAUUUUUUUCUUGUUGAUUUUAAAGAAGAUUCCUGGAUAUUUAAUUUUAUCUCUUCUAUUGACUCAAUUCACCUUUUAAUUUUAUUUUAG